UUUUGGAAGUAAAAAUCGUAACAAGGUUUCCGUAGGUGAACCUGCGGAAGGAUCAUUAUCAUACAACCGAGGCACAAGGGCUGUCGCUAACUUUCUUGUUGUGCACGCCUAAGUGCUCUCACACAUAUCCAUCUCACCCAUUUGUGCAUCAUCGCGUGGGUCCUGCUCUUUGGCUUGUUCCAAGGAGGGGGGCUUGCGUUUUCAUACAAACACCCCUUUUAAUGCAGUAUAGAAUGUUCUUGCAAUGACUUGCAAUAAAUACAACUUUCAACAACGGAUCUCUUGGCUCUCGCAUCGAUGAAGAACGCAGCGAAAUGCGAUACGUAAUGUGAAUUGCAGAAUUCAGUGAAUCAUCGAAUCUUUGAACGCACCUUGCGCCCCUUGGCAUUCCGAGGGGCACACCCGUUUGAGUGUCGUGAUAUUCUCAAAGAACCCUUCUUUGGUCUUGUGAUCAGGAAAGGCUUUUUGGACUUUGGAGGUUAUUGCUGGUCCCCCCUUGAUAGCCAGCUCCUCUUAAAUGGAUUAGUAGGGACCACUUUGCUGACCCUAGACGUGAUAAGAUGUUUCUGCGUCUUGGGUUUUUGCUCUGUCCUUUGGAGACCUGCUUCUAACCGUCUUGUUAAAAGACAGCAUUUGAGCCUUUCUCAUUGAUCGGGAAAGGCUUGACUCAUGAACCUUGACCUCAAAUCGGGUGAGACUACCCGCUGAACUUAAGCAUAUCAAUAAGCCGGAGGAA
rnacentral:sRNA from 1 species